rnacentral:lncRNA from 1 species
AAAGUAGAGAAUCAUAUGUUGUGCUACUAUUAUAUUUUCUACGACAGACGUCCUUUUAAUUUGAAUUGUCAGUUCAGGUGAAAGUAUUUUUCACUCUAAUAGCUAAAUAUCAUUCAACUUCUAUUCUCUUCACUUUAAGUUUAAUUUUUGAUUUUGACGUGACAACUUCAAUGUACUCAAGACUUGGUUUACAUUUCAGUCUUCCUCUUCCUCUUUAACUUUUAAGAAAAAAAUUGGUGUUACUCCUCAAAGUAAAAAAGGAAAAUAAAAAUUCAAGUUUUAGUAGUGCUACAGUAUCAAUGAAUGAGGGAUUUUUCCAAGUUACAUCUAUUUGUUCUUUUGCUGAUGCGAUUUCUUUUGUCGAAACCAUUUUCUUUCCCUUUGUAAGGGAGUCCCUCUUGGAUUCUUCACCUACACUUUUGAAGACGGAAUACUAAAGAGAAGACAAGUUUUGAUUCAUAAUAUUUUCUUGUUGUAAUUCGUAACGGAUCAGUUACUUAGUGAGCUCUAUUCUGUUUGCGAAACAAAUAUGGUUUGAAACUAUGAAUUAAAUGGCUUAUGUAACGAGACAUUCAAAGUUGAGCAUAUGAACUUGAAAAAUAUAGUAAGUUAAUAAAGCUUAAGUUGAUUAAUACAAACUAAAGAAGAACAAAUGUAGAUGCAGACAUCUCUUAAAAUAAAGCUUAUUAGUGAAACACAACAGUAACCAACUGCACUGCACCAACGUCUUCUUAUCCUUGACAUCUGAAAUUUGAAAAAUAAGAUAGUGAGCGUCAAACACUUAUCAAUAAGAAAAAUAUACUUAUCAAGCAUAUGCCAUGAUUAUCCAAGAUGAAAUCCAGCAAGUAGCAGCAGCAACUUAACAGAUGAAGCAACUGAUAAAGUUGAAACCAUGGCUAUUCACACAAGUUCCAUGAGUUCACAGGCAAGAAGAGGUAAAGGAUUUAGAGGAAGGCAGCAGCAGUGUGAUUUUUGUAGAAUGAAAGGCCACACAAAGGAAAACUGCUACAAGCUUGUUGGAUAUCCACCUGGUUUUCAAAAUAGGAAGUUUUCUGGAAGUGGAGGAUUUGGUGUUGGUAAUUCUGAUGGAUGGAGAAGAAAUGCAUGCACUUCUGAUAACUGGAGAAAAGAGCAACCACCCACAGUGAAUAACACUAAUGUAGCAUCUACAUCUAGGAUUAAUGGAGAAGUUUCAUCUUCUCGGUGCAACACCGGAUUUCAGUCAGAAAAACAGUUUUACAACCCCUUUUCUGAUGAACGAUACAAACAGAUCUUUAAGUUUGCUGAACAAGGAUUCAGGAGAGCAUCAUGUCAACAUGGCAGGUAUUGUAACUUUCUUGAUGUCUCAUUUUCUUUCUAAAACUGAAUGGGUCAUUGAUUCUGGAGCCACACAUCAUGUUACUACAAAUCUACAAUUGUUGAAGGAUAGGGUCAAUCUAGAUGCCUCUAAAAGAGAUAAGUGCAUUUACCUACAGGAGAGAAAACUGAAAUUACUCACACAAGAAGUGCCAACUUAUUUGGGAAUGAAAAAAUGAAGGGUGUGUUAUUUGUUCCCGAGUUUAGAUUUAACCUUUUAUCAGUGUCAAAAGUGACUAAAGAGCUGUCUUGCUUUUUCAUCUUUUUCCCUGAUUUCUGUGUGUUUCAGGACCUCUACAAUGGCAGGGUGAAGGGGAUUGGUAAAGAGCAAGGAGGCUUGUAUGUGAUUGAUGGAGAUUCAGUGGAAUCUAUGGUAACAAAUAAGAUGAAAACAACAUGUAUGACUAAUAGUGAUGCCGAUUACAGUUUAUGGCAUAAGAGAUUGGGACAUCCAUCAUCCACAAUAAUGAAGAAGAUUCCAGAGUUAAAUAAGUCUUCUAGCACUACUUUAGAAAAGGAUUGUCAUAUUUUCCCCUUGGCAAAACAAACUAGGCUACAAUUUCCACUUAGCGAAACUAGAGCAGAUUUUCCAUUUCAGCUUGUACAUAUGGAUCUCGGGGGUCCAUAUAAGGUCCCGACUUAUGAUAAGAAAUACUAUUUAUUAACUGUUGUGGAUGAUCAUUCUAGAUUUACUUGGAUUUAGUUGUUGCAAUUAAAGUCUGAGGUGAUUGUUGUGCUUAGACAGUUUUUAGCCAUGAUAAAAAAUCAGUUUGGCAUGAUAAUCUAGGUUUUGAGGUCUGAUAAUGGUGCGGAGUUCGUUAAUUCUAAGUGUAAAGAAUUGUUGUUUUCUCUUGGCAUUGAGAAUCAAAGUAGUUGCCCUUAUACUCCCCAGCAAAAUGGGAUUGUGGAGAGAAAGCACAGGUAGAUUUUAAACAUUGCUAGAGCCUUGAGGUUUCAGGCUAUGAUACCUCUUAGAUACUGGGGAUUAUGUGUCAAGGCUGCAGUUUAUUUGAUGAACAGGUUGCCUUCAGUUACACUAGCUGGACAUACACCAUAUGAACUACUGUUUCAUAAGAAACCUUCCAUCACUCAUUUAAAAGUCUUUGGUAGCCUUUCUUAUGCAACAAAUUUGUUGAAAAAAGACAAGUUUGGACCAAGAUCAAGAUCUGCGGUGCUACUUGGUUUUUCAGAACUGCAGAAAGGUUACAUAUUGGUUGACUUAAUUACUAAAGAUAUAUUUGUCAGCCGAGAUGUGGUUUUCAGGGAAAAUAUAUUCCUUUUUAGUUCACCAGAGUCACUACAGCACUAUCAUCAUAACCUAAGGUUAUGCAUCCAGCUUGUCUUAGUGAUACAGGUAUGGAUUCACUUCACACUUUGUCGUCUUCACCUUUGGAUUAUGCAAGUGACACUGAUAUGGUUCCUGAAGUGCAAGCACCAGCAAAUCCUGCACCUCCAGUUAGUAUUACCACUGAUAUUGCUCCUGAUUCUAAUAUUGAUACUAAAAGAAGAUCAACCAGGACCUCUAAAGAACCCCUUUGGAUGAAAGACUAUGUUGGCAGGCCCAAAGCACAAUGCAAUAAUGUUCUAUAUCCUUUAUCUGACUAUUUGUCUUAUGCUAAUACCUUUAUCUAGCCGAUUUCUCAUCUUUGGUAGAACCUCAAGGCUUUAGUGAGGCCGUAAAGGAUAAGAGAUGGGUUGAUUCCAUGAAGGUUGAGAUCAAAUCACUUGAAGAUAACAAGACUUGGGAAAUUGUAGACCUGCCCACCGGGAAGAAUAUAGUAGGCUCAAAAUGGGUUUACAAGGUUAAAUUUCAAGAAAAUGGAGAAGUGGAGAGAUUCAAGGCUAGAUUGGUAGCCAAAGGUUAUAGUCAGAGGGAAGGUCUAGAUUAUCAUAAGACCUUUUCACCUAUAGCCAAGAUGGUUAUAGUCAGGUCAAUUAUCGCUCUUGCAGCAUCAGAAGGUUGGAAACUCUUUCAAAUGGAUAUGUUUAAUGCCUUUCUUCAAGGUGACUUAUGUGAAGAAGUAUUCAUGGAAAUUCCUGAAGGUUUCAGAAGACAGGGGGAGACUAAAGUGUGUAGGCUAUUAAAAUCUUUAUAUGGACUUAAACAAGCAUCCAGGCAGUGGAAUAUUAAAUUGACCGAAGCACUGAUACAAGCUGUUUUUACUCAAAGCAAUUAUGACUAUUCCUUAUUUACUAAGAAGGAAGGAGAAGAUAUAGUAAUCACCUUAGUUUAUGUAGAUUAUUUACUAAUCACUGGAAGUUGUAACAAGAUGAUAAACUCAGUGAAGAUGCAAUACAUCAACAUUUCAAAGUAAAAGACUUAGGAGAACUGAAAUUUUUCUUGGGAAUUGAAGUGUUGAGAUCCAAGACUGGAAUAUUGUUGAAUCAAAGAAAGUAUGUGUUAGAGCUAAUUUCAGAGUUGGGUCUUGGUGGAGUAAAACCUGCAGCAACACCUUUAGAAACUAAUAUCAGACUCACUAGUGUAGAAUUUGAUGAAGCAACAGGAGAGCAAAGUGAUGACUUAUUGUCAGACAUAGGAGCAUAUCAAAGGUUAAUGGGAAAACUUUUGUAUGUGACCAUAACAAGACUAGAUAUAAGCCCCACUGUACAGACCUUGAGUCAAUUCAUGCAAAGGAAAAAACAAUCUCAUCGGGAUUUAACUAUCAGAGUGGUGAAGUAUUUUAAGUUAGCAUCAGGACAAGGGAUCCUUAUUAGUGCAUCUACUAGUCAAGAACUUACAUGCUGGUGUGAUUCAGAUUGGGCAGCUUGUCCAAAUACUAGAAGGUCUAUGACAGGAUACUUGAUCAAAUUUAGGGACUCACUAGUGUCAUGGAAGUCAUAAAAGCAACAGACAGUCUCAAGAAGUUCUGCAGAGGCAAAGUAUAGGAGCAUGGCAUCAGCAGUGGCUGAAGUUACAUGGUUGCUAGGUUGAUAUCAAGAAAUAGUAAUCAAGGUGAAACAACCAGUGAAGAUUAUGAGUGACAGUAAGUCUGCAAUACAGAUUGCAUCUAAUCCAAUCUUUCAUAAAAGGACUAAACACAUUGAAAUUGAUUGUCAUUUCAUUAGAGACAAAAUCAAGGAUGGACUCAUUGAAGCUAUGUUUGUAAAGACUGAAGAACAAUAGGCAGAUCUAUUAACCAAAGGGUUAAGUAAAGCACAACACUCAUAUUUGAUGAGCAAGCUUGGAGUGUUCAAUAUCUUACAUCCUCCAGCUUGAGGGGGAGUGUUGAGAUUAGGCUUAACAGAUGAUGCUUAGAUAGUUAGUCUAUGUGAUCAAUUACUGGUAGAAUGUACAGCUGGCAAGGAAUGUACAGCUUUCAAGGUAGUUAGUUAUAGUCUACAGCUGGAAGCAGUUAGUGGAGUUAUUGUUUAGUGUGCAUAUAUAAUGCUGUGUAACAGAACCAACCAGAGAACUCAUUCUUCUUUUCAUCUAAUAAAAAAAUAUCUUCUCCAAUAUUUCUCUCUCUAGAUUGAUCUCCGUUGAUGAACUUAUGGAAACAUUCAUGAAGCUCUUAGCCUAGAUUUCUACAUGUAUGACUCCUUGAAGCCCGUUCUCUUGACUGGAGGACUACAGGUUAGCGUUUGUCUGUUUUUGUGCUUUUGCUUUUUAUUGGUUUACGUGGAUUUUGAUAAUAUCAUUGGCUCAACAAUUUCACUUGGCUUAUUUUGAUGUUUACGAGAUAGUUUUUUUGCUAGCUUUGCUCUCGGGUGGCUGAUUACCAACAGUGCCGGUCUUGCCUCAUACCCAAUUGACACAGUCCGAAGAAGAAUGAUGAUGACCUCCGGUGAAACUGUCAAGUGCAAGAGCUCACUUGACGCAUUCUCCCAGAUUCUUAAGAACGAGGGUCCCAAAUCUCUUUUCAAAGGAAAUGGUGCUGACAUCCUUCCUGCCGUUGCUGGUGCUGAUGUGUUGGCUGGAUAUGAUAAACUUCAGAUGAUCGUUUUUGGAAAGAAAUACGGCUCUGGCGCUGCCUAAAUUCAGACCACAUAUAGCAUCCUUUAGGAUUAGCUAUUGAUGAAAAUCUAUCUGCAGUGCAAUAUGAGGAUUCUUUUGGAAAGGCGUUUUACAUUUUUUCCUCUUUUUCGUUUUUGAAUAAUUUGAAAAAAUUUCGAGAUCUUUAUGCAGAGGUUAUAUAUUGUCAUACUCAAAACUUUUGAUAUAAUUAAAAGAGACGGAUUUGACUACAUCUACUUGUACUUUUGCUGAUGUGAUUUCUUUUGACAACAACAUUUCUUUCCUUUUGUAUGUGAGUCCCUCUUAGAUUCUUCGCAUACUCUUGUGAAGAUGGGAUAUUCAAGAGAGUUCAUGUUUUGAUUCGUAAUUUUUCCCUGAUCUAAUUCGUGACAUAUCAGUUACUUGAUGAGCUAUAAGCGUAUUUCUAUUUGCGAAACAAAUAUGGUUUGAAAUUAGAAUCAUAUUUGAGCAUAUGAACUUGAAAAAUAUAUUAAGUUAAUAAAGCUUAAGUAGAUUAAGACAAACUAAAGUAGAACAAAUGUAGAAGCAGACAUCUCUCUAAAUAAAGCUUAAUAGUAUGCAAUUCCACUACGCUAUGUCUUCUUAUCCUUGACAUCUGAAAAUUGAAAACUAAGAUAGUGAGCGUUAAACACUUAUCAAUAAGAAAAAUUUGCUUCGGAGAGAGUAUCUAUUAGUUGUUGUUAUUAAAAAAAACUUGAAAACUAAUAUAUUAGUGUAGAACUUAUCUUGAAUACCUGUAAGUUCCUGAAAUCAAAUCUUUCUCCAUUGCUGAAUUGUCUAGAAGCGAUUAUUUCUUCUUCUGUAGUUCCUUUGCCUUCGCUGCUUCUUUCUCCUUGCCAUCAUAAUUGUGUGUCCCAGCUCUUCAACGAUUCUUUCAAGCCAUUUCAUAUUCCCAGUUGAGAUCAAGAUAUAUAUUAUGGAUAGUCCAAUACAUAGUUCGGUUCCAUACCCCAUAAGAGCGCCUUUCCAAAAAUCGUUGAGAAAUUCAGAGUUGCUUUCUUGAUUAUUUAGCACAGAUGUGGUGUAAUUUGUCUCGGAAACUAUAUCAGUACCACAACCUUUUGAAAGUGGGAAUCCACGUAAUCCAUCAUUAUCUUUGUAUGAAUUGUUCUCAAAUGUAGCAAAUUGAGGUCCUCUAGGGAUGCAUCCUUCAAGAUUAUUGUGGAAGAGAUUGAAAAAUUCAAGAGUCGUAAGAGAAGCAAUUUGUUUUCGUAUCUCUCCAGAGAGAUGGUUAAAUGAAAGGUCCAAUGAUUCAACCAAGGAUAAAUUUCCAAAUGAUGGUGGAAUAUGACCUUGCAAUCCAUUAUGAGACAAAUUCAAAACUCGGAGCGUGAUGAGAUCUCCCAUAAUACAAGGAAUAUGUCCUUCAAAUUUGUUGUUUGAAAGAUCGAUAGUUGUAUACAAAGACAAGAUUCUCACAACUUCAAGCUCCAAUCCCUUUGUUACGACAUCUACCGAGUCUUGGUAAUGUUGAUGAAGCUCAUAACUUGAUGCAUUUGUUUUUUUUAUCAAUUGUCCUCAUGGCUUUCAAAUGUUGAAACAAACUAUCGGCAAGUUUUUGGAAAAAUCAUUGCAAGAGAGAUCUAAGAUUUGAAGCUCAAGAAACAUGUAUUCACUUCCUGAAGUUCUAAUGGGUCCAUGCAACUUAUUCGACUUCAAGCUUAAAACUCGCAACUCGGGAAGAGUUCACAACCACAUUGGAAAUGUAUCAUUGAGGAGAUUGUCUCCUAAAUCAACAACUUGCAGCUCUUUGCAAUUUUUUAAGGAUCGUGGAAUUUUUCCCUCUAGCUUAUUGCCAUGCAAAUUGAAACUUUUGAGUGCACUUCCAAUGCAAAAAGUUGUUGGAAGAGUACCGAAAAGAUUGUUGUGCUGCAAAUCAAGAACCUCAAGAUGACGACUCAUGUUGCCAAAACAUUGCGGAAUUGCUCCCAUUAGAUUGUUUCUACCCAAAUCUACAACUUGUAGUGAUGUUAAAUUGCAAAUAGACGACGGGAGCUCUCCGCUGAGAUUAUUAUGUGACAUAAUCACAUACUGGAGGCCACUGAUAUUACCUAAGCAUUUCAGAAUUUUACCCUUCAAGUUGUUUUUCAACAAAUACAGGAUUGUCAGUGACGUCAAAUUACAAAAAGAUGAAGCAAUUUCAUCAGUCAGAUUGUUGUUGCCGAGAAACAGAGUUUGCAAGUUUCUCAAAUUCCCAAAGGAAGACGGAAUCGAACCAGUGAGUUGAUUAUUGGAUAAUUCUAGAUCAUUGAGAUUUUUCAGCUUCCCCAACUCACUAGGAAUUGGGCCAGAGAGUUGAGUAGCAUACAGGUCUAGAAGUUUGAGCUCAGUUAAGUCACCUAUAGUUUUUGGAAUUGGGCCAGAAAUAUUGUUUAAAAAUAAGCUUAAAUUUUGAAGUGACUUCAUCUUCCCUAUUUCUGCAGGAAUGGGACCAAACAAUUCAUUGGAGGGAUGUGACCUGUUAAUUGGUUUUUUUUCAAGAUAAGCUUCAACGAGAUUGGCAAGUUUUGCUAUUUCUGCAGGAAUACAGCCAGAAAGGUGAUUCUCGUAAAGAUACAAAUAGGACAAGUUGUUCAAAUUCCCCAAUGAAGCAGGAAUAGAACCAUUACGAAAAUUGGUACUCAAAUCUAGUUCAGUAAGAGACCUUAGGUAACCUAUUUCUUCCGGAACGGAGCCAGAAAGUUGAUUCUCAUAAAGAUUCAAAAGGGUCAAGUUGUUCAAUUUCCCCAAUGAAGGAGGAAUAGAACCAUUUAGGAAGUUCCAGCCCAAAGAAAGCUUAGUAAGAGACCUUAGGUAACCUAUUUCUUCCGGAAUGGAACCAUUUAAAAAGUUGUCAAAUAUGCGGAGGAUCUGAAGCUUGACUAGUGAGCCAAUUUGUGAUGGGAUCGUGCCCGAAAUUUGAUUGGUAUUCAAGUCAAGAUAGACAAGAUUAGUGAGAUUACCAAUCUCAGGUGGGAUGGUGCCAGACAAAAUUGUUCAUGCUAAGAUUAAGAUACUCAAGAAAAGGGACACAAUUAUUCUGGUUCUUGAAAUUUGCUUUCCAUGAGCAGUUGCUUCCUCAGUGGAAGAAAAAGUAAUUGUAAAAGAGAGUGAAGAACUGAAGUAAAUCUGGUUCUUCAAAGUUGAUUUCCAUUUAAGGAGAGCAGUUGCUUCCUCCGUGGAAGAAAAAGUAAUUGUAAAGAGAGUGAAAAAUGAAGUAAAGAGAAUAUUUUCGAAACCAUCAUAUUAAACGAUUUGGAGUUGAUGGUUUUUGUUGUUGAUGAAAUUGGUGCAGGGUACACUAUUUAUAUUGUAAUAAACCAAUACAAGCCUUGCGUGUAAACUAAGGCGUAGAAUCAGAAUGACUUUAAAGUCAAUGAGUCUUCGUUUUGUUGAAUAAUCAUCUCCAUAUGCUUGUUUCUAUAUGUUUGAAUUUUCUUCAUAUUAAUCAUUGUUGAAUAAUCAUCUCCAUAUGCUUGUUUGUAUGUGUUUGAACUUUUUUCAUAUUAAUCAAUUCCACUGUUACUGAAAGAACGCAUUGUUAAUGGGUUGUGUUGGGAAAAUCAGCAAUUUUCCCACUAAAACAAAACAACAAAAGAAUACCCGACAAACAAUAUUGAAUAAUGAAAUUAAAAGACACCAAAAAAUUUGAAAACGAAGCUCAGCCAAUUAGACUUAAUCUCCAAGCAUCCAACAUUUUUAUUAAUUGUUGUAGAAGAGAACAAAUUUGGGAUUAUACAAAUGGAAGGAGGUAGAGUUUCUUUUAUAGCUCUAAAUCUCCUCCCUAAAUUGUUAAUUAGUGAUGUGGGAGAAAAAAGGGAGCCAAAAACUAAUAGGUUGUACCUCCCUCAAGAAAAAAAAAUUUAUAAAAAAAGAGCGGAGGAAAUUAAGUCAAGAAAGAUAAUGAAUUGUAAGUGGUAAAUGUAGUGUAUUUUUCAAGUCUUCUUGUAGAAAUUUCAAAGUUAGCUACAUCACACAAAUUAAUUCAAUUUGAUGUAAAAUUCUAAAGCUUGCAUAAGAAAGUCCUUAUGCUUGAUUACACAUCUAUUUAUGUGGACCUAUUUUAUUGAAAAAAAAUACUUUGCUGGACCAAUAAUUAAUCUAGUCAAGUAUAUUUAAGUAGCCAAAAGAGUAGUAGAAUGUCAUUCUCAAACAUUAGAUACCACUAAUUCGAAAGAAAGAAAGAGUCCAACUGCAAAUACUUAAAUUUUGUCAUUCUCGAGUCAAUGUACAAGUCUCUUCCAUGGAAAUUUCAUAAGACAAUAUUUUUCAUGUCUUGAUGAGAAAAUUCAAACAAAUCCCUUUCACUUCCAAAUAAAUAAAAAGAUAUAGUUCAUUACCAAUAUAGUCUUGCCACUUUAACAUUAUCACAAAAUAAAGUUCACUGAUAUAAAAUUUAAUAGAAAAAUGAGAAAGGGCAUGGAAUAAUUUAAUUUAAUUCAGACAAAAAUCAUAUGGUAUAUAUGUGAUGCAGAUAUGUUUGGUUAUCAUUUCUCAUCUUUAAAUAUGGUGGAAUGAAUGAUAUCCCUUUACCUUAAUAAGAAGUUUCAGAUUUGAGCUUCGAGAAUUACAAAAAAAAACUUUGAUAUGAGGACUUUCCAUUUCAAUGUGCCUUACGUCGUGAGUAAAACCUCUACGUAACAACAUCCUUUGUCCGAAAAGCUUUUGGUUGCUACAACCAAAUGUCAUGGCGGAGCUAGGAUUUUCACUAAAGAGUUCGAAAUAUGAAAACAUAAGCAUGUUAAGAACCCAAAGAGAUUUAAUAUCUAUCAUAUAUAUAUAUGUAUAUAUAAAACUAUUUUGACCGUACAUAAAUAAUAUAACUUUUGCCUGGUUGAACCUACUUGGCUCUGCCCCUAUCCAUUUCUACACUAGAAAAUAUACAAUAUUACGGUAAUUCAAGAUAGAAAUUGACUGUCACCAGUAAAGCGAAAGUUUGGAUAGUUUGAGCUAGUAAGAUUCGAUAAAUAUAACAUAAACAAUCAAUUUCAAUUAGAGCUCGCUCGCUACAGAAAAAUGUUGUUAUAGAGAAAUCUGAAGAUAAAAUGUACGUAAUAAUUUCACGUAAACUUUAUAAAUUUAAUCACAAAUGAGUUUAUUUCUGUUUGCGAAACAAAUAUAGUUUGAAAUUAUGAAUUAAAUAGCUUGAGCUAUUGUCUUCCUUUUGGGAUUAUGUAACAAGACAUUCAAAGUUGAGCAUAUGAACUUGAAAAAUAUAUUAAGUUAAUAAUCCUUAAGUAGAUAGUGAAAAUGGGAGGAACCAACUCCACUGCUCCAAACACUUGACGUCUGAAAUCUGAAAAAUAAGAUAGUGCGCGUCAAACACUUAUCAAUAAGAAAAAUAUACUUCGGAGAGAGUAUCGAUUAGUUGUUGUUAUUGAAAAAAAAAAUGAAAACUAAUAUAUUAGUGUAGAACUUAGCUUGAAUACCUGUAAGUUCUAGAAUCGAUUAUUUCUUCUUCUAUAAUUUUCUAAUGAAGCCGUGUGGGGCUCUUUCGAUUCACUACCAUUGUUGUUCUUGUGUUCAUCUCUUUUAUUUCUCAAAACUAAAUCUAAAGUCUAGUGAAUCUGUGAGUGGCCUAUUUCGAUUCACUAGCACCUUGCUGUUCAAUUUGUUGCUCUUGUGUUGGCUUGAAUAUCUUGAUACACACUUAGUCUUGUAUCAUUUUGGCAUCAGAGCAAGGCUGUUUGUGUUCCUACACUACCAAUCUUGGGUUUUAUUGGACGAAAAUUCAAAAAAAAAAAGCUGAAAACUGAAAAAAAAUUCCAUAAAAGUGCAAAUCUGUCCAUUUUGUGUUCUUGGCCGAAAAUUGUGUUGUUGUUAUCUUGGCCAAGAUUUGUUUGUUGUGUGUCUAGAACUUGUAGUCUUUUGUUUGGGAUUAUGUAACAAGACAUUCACAGUUGAGCAUAUGAACUUGAAAAAUAUAUUAAGUUAAUAAUCCUUAAGUAGAUAGUGAAAAUGGGAGGAACCAACUCCACUGCUCCAAACACUUGACGUCUGAAAUCUGAAAAAUAAGAUAGUGCGCGUCAAACACUUAUCACUAAGAAAAAUAUACUUCGGAGAGAGUAUCGAUUAGUUGUUGUUAUUGAAAAAAAAAAUGAAAACUAAUAUAUUAGUGUAGAACUUAGCUUGAAUACCUGUAAGUUCUAGAAUCGAUUAUUUCUUCUUCUAUAAUUCCUUUGCCUUCGCUGCUUCUUUCUCCUUCCCAUCACAAUUUUGUGUUCCAGCUCUUCAAUGAUUCUUGGAAGCCAUUUCAUAUUUCCAGUUGAGAUCAAGAUAUAUAUUAUGGAUAGUCCGAUACAUAGUCCGGUUCCAUACCCCAUAAGAGCUCCUUUCCAAAAAUCAUUCAGAAAUUCAGAGUUGCUUUCUUCAUCAAUCGCAGAUCCAGCAUAUGUUUCCUCUGAUACUGAAUCAUGACCGUCAUUACCACAGCCUUCUGAAAGUGGGAAUCCACAUAAUCCGUCAUUACCUUCGUAUGAGUUGUUCUCAAAGGUAUGAAAUUGAGGCCCUUGAGGAAUGCACCCUUCGAGAUGAUUGUAGGAGAGAUUUAAGAAUGCAAGAAAUGUAAGAGAAGCAAAUUGUGCUGGUAUCUCUCCUACAAGAUGGUUACCUGACAGGUCCAAUGAUUCAACUGAAGAUAAAUUUCCAAGUGAUUGCGGAAUAAGACCUUGCAAUCCAUUAUGAGAUAAAUUUAGUACGCGAAGGGCAAUGAGGUCAACAAUGAUACUUGGAACAUGUCCUUCAAAUUUAUUGUUUGAAAGAUCAAUAGUGUUGUACAAAAACAAGAUUCUCACAACUUCUAGCACUAUUCCCUUUGUUACGACAGCUAUGGAGUUUUGGUAAUACCCAACUUCGUCAUCACUAGGUGGCUUCUUUGAUGGAUCAAUUUUCCUCAUGGCUCUGAAAUGUUGAAACAGACUUGUCGGUAAGUUUCCCAUGAAGUCAUUGCAAGAGACAUCUAAGAUUCGGAGCUCAUGAAACAUGUAUUCACUUCCUGAAGUUCUAAUGGGUCCAUGCAACUUAUUCGAUCUCAAGCUUAAAACUCGCAGCUCGGGAAGAGUUCCCACCCACAUUGGAAAUGUAUCAUUAAGGAGAUUAUCUCCUAAAUCAAGAACUUCCAGUCGUUGACAAUUUUCCAAGGACAGUGGAAUUUUUCCCUCUAGCCUAUUUCCAUGCAAAUUGAAGCUUCUGAGUGCACUUCCAAUUCUAAAAGCUGUUGGAAGAGUACCAAACAGAUUGUUGUGCUGCAUAUCAAGAACCUCAAGAUGACCACUCAUGUUUCCAAAACAUUGCGGAAUUGCUCCUUUUAGAUUGUUUCUACCCAAAUCUAGUACUUUUAGGGAUGUUAAAUUGCAAUUAGACGGAGGGAGCUCUCCACUGAGAUUAUUAUGUGACAUCAUCGCAUACUGGAGGCUACUGAUAUUACCCAAGCAUUGCUGAAUUUUUCCCUUCAAGAUGUUUCUCAACAAAUCUAGACCAAUCAGUGACGUCAAAUUGCAAAUAAAUGAAGGAAUUUCCUCUGUCAGAUUGUUGUUGGCGAGAAUUAGAUUUUUCAAGUUUCUCAAAUUGACAAAGGAAGACGGAAUUGAACCAGUUAGUUGAUUAUUGGAUAAUUCCAGAAGAUUGAGGUUUUUUAGAUUCCCCAACUCACUAGGAAUUGGGUCAGUGAGUUGGUUAUUGGAUAAUAUUAGAUACUUGAGGUUUUUCAGAUUCCCCAACACACUAGGAAUUGGGCCAAAGAGUUGAUUAUUGGAUAACUCCAGAUAAUUGAGGUUUUUCAGAUUCCCCAACUCUCUAGGAAUUGGGCCAGAGAGUUGAUUAUAAAAUAAUCCAAGAUCAUUGAGGUUUUUCAGAUUCCCCAACUCACUAGGAAUUGGGCCAGAGAGUUUACCAUAAAGAUACAAAAGGGACAAGUUGUUCAAGUUCCCCAAUGAAGCUUCAAUAGAGCUAAGGAAGUUCCCGCCAAAAGAUAGCUUAGUAAGAGACCUUAGCUGACCUAUUUCUCCUGGAAUGGGACCAUUUAAAUGGUUGUCAAAUAUGAAGAGGAUCUGAAGCUUGACUAGUGAGCCGAUCUGUGAUGGGAUUGAGCCCGAAAUUUGAUUGAUUCUCAAGUCAAGAUAGAUAAGAUUAGUGAGAUUACCAAUCUCAGGUGGGAUGGUGCCAGAAAAAUUGUUCAUGCUAAGAUCAACAUAUUCCAGAGAAGGGAGGGAUGUAAAUGGAAAAGCGUAGAGUGUACCAAAGACACUAGCAUUUGUAAUAUUCAACGUGUUUACCCUACCAUUAAUUCAUGUAACUCCAUACCAGUCGUUGCAUGCACCAGAACUUGGUUUCCAUGAAGCCAACAAGGAAUUAUUCUGGUUCUUGAAAGUUGAUUUCCAUUUAAGCAGAGCAGUUGCUUCCUCAGUGGAAGCAAAGUAAUUGUAAAGAGAGUGAAAAACUAAAGCAAAGAGAUAUUUUUGAAAUCAUCAUCAUGUACUGUUAAACUAUUUUGAGUUGAUAAUAUUUGUUGUUGAUGGAUAUAUUGAUGCAGGGUACACUAUUUAUAUAUUAAUAAACCAAUACAAGCCUUGCGUGUAAACUAAGGAGUAGAAUCAGAAUUACUUUAAAGUCAAUGAGUCUUCGUUUUGUUGCUAAUCAUCUUAGUUUGGUUAAUGAUGUCAUUAUUUUAUUCAUAUGAGAAAAUAUAUCUCAAAAACUAAGCAAUAAUGCCCUGAACAUGGAUAAUUAAACAUCGAAUAACUUAGUUUGAAAGUUCCAUUAACCCAUUUUAAAUUAUUGAAUCAAAUUAAACAAUUAAAUACAUUUCGUUGGUUCCAAAAGAAAACGAAAAAAGAGCGAGAAAAAUGAAGUCAAGAAAGACUUUGUAAGUCUUGUUGUGGAAAUUUCAUUGAAAUCAUAUCUUUGAAUUUUCGUUUGAUGUUACUACUCAUUAAAAAAACAUAUUCUUUAAUCUUAUCAUCAAGCAUCAUGUGUAAUUGGUUUCAAGUAUAAGAAAAUAUCCUUUUUUUUUCUUAUUCGUUCAUAGAUAAUAGCGCAAUUGGUGAUCUCAAUUUAUUUUAUGAAAUCUUUUUAUCCAUGCAAAAGUACAUUAAUAAUUCAAAAGUGUUUAUCAAUUACUUCACAUCAUCGUUUUUAUUUCUUCAAACCCUGCGUAUAGCGGGAGCUUUGGUGCAACAAACUAUCCUUUUCUAUUUCACGAGAAUCACGAAAAGCUGUACUUAUAAUUAGUCAUUGAGGUCCACUAUCAUAUUUUGAAAAAAAGAGCGGAGGCUUAAAUAAAGGGAUAACAGAUAAACGUUCCCUUUAACUUGGCUUCAACUUGCAUCUAUGCCCUCCAACUUUGGGCGUGCACAAGUAGGCGUUUAAACUCGUAUAAAGCUGAAGAAGUAGACAUAUGCAUUCUACGAGGCCAAUUUUCAUCCUACGUGGUGUUCUACAUGUAUUAUACUACAUAGAACGUGUGUGUCUAUUUAGUGUUUGGGUCUUUUGGAUACCUAAUAAGGAAUCUUCAGUUUGAUAUUACCUCUAAAUGGAGAAGAUCCUCCCUAAUCUAUUGCAUGAUGAACUCAACAAAACAGAAAAUUCAAGUUAUCAUGCUAUAGAAAAAUAAUUAAGAAUUUACACGUUUUAACUGUGAGGAAACGAAAGGAGUUCACAUUAGGGAUUAUGGAAAGUCCAUCAUUUAUCAAAUGUUCAAAUUGGGGUUAAUUCAAGAAAUAUUAUCGGUUUCAUGGCUCAUAUAAAAAUAUUCAAAUUUUUAUAUGUUUUUGUUACAAGAAAAGAACAAGAGCAGUUCUUUGUCUACUCAUUGGACUAUGCACGUGCCCGUCUUGCAAAUGAUGCCAAGGCUGCAAAGAAAGGAGGCGAGAGACAGUUCAAUGGUAUGAUUGAUGUCUACAGAAGACACUCGCUUCUGAUGGAGUUGCUGGACUGUACCGUGGAUUCAACAUUUCAUGUCUUGGUAUCAUUGUCUACCGUGGUUUGUACUUGAAAUUGAGGCCCUUGAGGAAUGCAUCCUUCAAGAUGAUUAUAGGAGAGAUUUAAGACUUCAACAAAUGUGAGAGAAGCAAAUUGUGGUGGUAUCUCUCCUACAGGUCCAAUGCUUCAACUGAAGAUAAACUUCCAAGUGAUGGUAGAAUAUGACCUUACAAUCCAUUAUGAGACAAAUUCAAAACUCGGAGCGCAAUGAGAUCUCCCAAAAUACAAGGAAUAUAUCCUUCAAAUUUGUUGUUUGAAAGAUCGAUAGUUGUGUACAAAGACAAGAUUAUCACAACUUCAAGCUUCAAUCCCUUUGUUACAACAUCUACCGAGUCUUGGUAAUAUCGAUGAAAUUCAUAUCUUGAUGCAUUUGUUUUUUUAUCAAUUGUCCUCAUGGCUUUCAAAUGUUGAAACAAACUCAUCGGCAAGUUUUUGGAAAAAUCAUUGCAAGAGAGAUCUAAGAUUUGAAGCUCAAGAAACAUGUAUACACUUCCCGAUGUUCCAAUGGGUCCUUGCAACUUAUUCGAUCUCAAGCUUAAAACUCGUAGCUCGGGAAGAGUUCCCAACCAGAUUGGAGAUGUAUCGUUGAGGAGAUUCUCCUAAAUCAAGAACUUUCAGUAGUUGGCAAUUUUCCAAGGAUCGUGGAAUUUUUCCCUCUAGCUUAUUGCCAUGCAAAUUGAAGUUUCUGAGUGCACUUCCAAUGCUAAAAGUUGUUGGAAGAGUACUGGAAAGAUUGUUGUGCUGCAUAUCAAGAACCUCAAGAUGACAGCUCAUGUUGCCAAAACAUUGCGGAAUUGCUCCCAUUAGAUUGUUUCUACCCAAAUCUAGAACUUGUAGUGUUGUUAAAUUGCAAAUAGAUGACGGGAGCUCUCCUCUGAGAUUAUUAUGGGACAUCAUCACAUACCAGAGGCCAUUGAUAUUACCCAAGCAUUGCAGAAUUUUUCCCUUCAAGUUGUUUUUCUACAAAUGCAGGAUUGUCAGUGAUGUCAAAUUGUAAAUAGAUGAAGGAAUUACCUCAAUCAGAUUGUUGUCGUCAAGAAACAGAGUGUACAAGUUUCUCAAAUUGCCAAUGGAAGACGGAAUUGGGCCAGAGAGUUGAUUAUUGGAUAAUAGAUCAUUGAGGUUUUUCAGAUUCCGCAACUCACUAGGAAUUGGGCCAGAGAGUUGAUUAUUGGAUAAUCCUAAAUCACUGAGGUUUGUCAGAUUCCCCAACUCACUAGGAAUUGGGCCAGUGAGGUGAUUAUUGGAUAAUUCCAGAUAAUUGAGGUUUUUCAGAUUCCCCAACUCACUAGGAAUUGGGCCAGAGAGUUGAUUCAAAUAAAGAUACAAAAAGGACAAGUUGUACAAAUUCCCCAAUGAAGCGGGAAUAGAGCCAUUAAGGAAGUUCUCGCCCAAAGAUAGCUUAGUAAGAGACCUUAGGUAACCUAUUUCUUCUGGAAUGGGACCAUUUAAAUGGUUGUCAAAUAUGUGGAGGAUUUGAAGCUUGACUAGUGAGCCGAUUUGUGAUGGGAUUGUGCCCGAAAUUUGAUUGGCAUGCAAGUCAAGACAGAUAAGAUUAGUGAGAUUACCAAUCUCAGGUGGGAUGGUUCCAUAAAAAUUGUUCAUGCUAAGUUUAAAAUAUUCAAGAAAAGGGAGGGAUGAAAACGGAAAAUCAUAGAGGGUACCAAUGACUCUAGAAUUAUUAAUAUUCAACCUGUUUACCCUACCAUUAAAGCAAAUACCUCCGUACCUGCCGCUGCAUGCAUCAGAACUUGGUUUCCAUGAAGCCAAUAAGGAAUUAUUCUGGUUCUUGAAAGUUGAUUUCCAUUUUAGGAGAGCAGUUGCUUCCUCAGUGGAAGCAAAAGUAUCUGCAAAGAGGUACAAGAGAGUGAAAAACUGAAGUAAUAACAAGAAUAUUUCGUUGGAAACCAUCAUCAUAUACUGCUAAUAAUUAAGUGAUUGUGAUUUGAUUAUUUUGUUUGUUAAUGGAUGAAAUUGGUUCUGGGUACACUUUUUAUAUUACAGUAAACAAGUACAAGUCUUGCAUCUCAAAUAAGGCGUUGCAUCAGAAAGACUGACUUAAAAGUCUUCAAAUAAUUAAAUGCAUUUCUUUGUAAGUCUUCAAAUAAUUAACUGUAUUUCUUUAUAAGUCUUCAAAUAAUUAAAUGCAUUUCUUUGUUAAGUCUUCAAAUAAUUAACAGCAUUUCUUUAUAAGUCUUAAAAUAAUUAAAUGCAUUUCAUUGUAUUAAAUGCAUUUGAAAACUACAACACACAAAAAUGAAGUCAAGAGUGACUCUGUAAGUCUUGCUGUGGAAAUUUCAUAUGAAAACUACAACAAGCAAAUCCAUGUCUCUUUGAAUUUUCAUUUGAUGUUACUACUCAUCAACAGAACGUAUUCCUUACUCUAAUCAUCAAGCAUCAUGUGUAGUUAGUAGUUUGAACUUUAAAAAAAAAAUCCUUUUGUCUUAUUCGUUCCUAGGUAAUAGCGAAAAUGAUGACCGAAACAGAAAUUAUUCAUAGACUAAUAAUGAGUAUUAUGGGUGCCGAGAAUUGUGUGUGGCUUAAUGAUCAAUAAGUGGCCUAAUUGUCCAAGAAAUAAGGGAAAAGCACAGGAGUAUAAGGCUUAAAUCUCACCAAUAAAGUCAGAUGAUUUUUCAAUCAAACAUAGUUAUGGUGGUGGCUGAGUUAUGUAGCACGUAUUCAAUACACAAGUUAGCCCGAAUACCACUGUUAUUGAAAAAAUGGAGAUCAAAGCAGAGAAAUUAAGGAGGAAAUUAUCUCCAUAUGCUUGUUUAUAUGCGUUUAGAAGAUGUCAUUCUCUAAGUCAAUGUACAAGUUUUAGUCUUGCCAAGGAAAAUGCCAGUUUGGCCUAUUGUUAUUAAGAAACUAAAUUGGCACCAUAUCCUCAAAAGAAAGAAAGAGUCCAAAUGCACAUACUUAAAUUUUGUCAUUCUCAAGUCAAUGUACAAGUCUCUUUCACGAAAAUUUCAUAUGAUGUGGUCAUUUGCUUUGAGAAAAUAAUUUCUUCACUAUAUUUUCUAUGGCAGAAGUCCUUUUAAUUUGAAUUGUCAAUUCAAGUGAAAGUAUUUUUCACUCUAAUAGCUAUGAAUUAUUCAACUUCUAUUCUCUUCACUUUAAUUUUGAUUUUUCAUUCUGAUUUGACAACUUAAACGUACUCGAGACUUAGUUUACAUUUAUGUCUUCCUCUACUUUUUUAACUUUAAAAAGAAAAACUUUUGUGUUGCUCCCCAAAGUAGAAAAGGAAAAUAAAACUUCAAGUUUUUAGUAUAAAUGAAUGUUGAACUAAUGAGUUUAUACUGAAUAUUCCUUUUGAGAUUAUGUGACAAGACAUUCAAAGUUGAGCAUAUGAACUUGAAAAAUAUAUUAAGUUAAUAAAGCUUAAUUAGAUUAAUACAAAUUAAAGAAGAAUAAGUGUAGAUGCGGACAUCUCUCAAAAUAAAGCAUAAUAGUGAACAUAGGAGUAACCAACUCCACUGCGCCAACGUCUUCUUAUCCUUGACAUCUGAAAAUUGAAAAAUAAGAUUGUGAGCGUCAAACACUUAUCAAUAAGAAAAAUAUGCUUCGUAUAGAGUAUCACUUAGUUAUUGUUAUUAAAGAAAACAUGUAGACUAGUAUAUCAGAAUCAAACUUCAAAUAAUUAUACAUAUUUCUUUUGUCCCAAACGUAAAGGAAAAAAGAGCAGAGAAAAAUGAAAUAAAGAAAGACUUUGUACGUCUUUCUAUGGAAAUUUUAUAUGAAAACUACGACACACAAAUCCAUGUCUCUUUGAAUUUUCAUUUGAUGUUACUACUCAUUAAUUGAACGUAUUCUUUACUCUAAUCAUCAAGUAUCAUGUGUAGUUAGUUUGAACUAUAAAGAAAUAUCCUUUUCUCUUAUUCGUUCAUAGAUAGUAGUGCAAAUGAUGAUCUCAAUUUAUUUUAUUAAAACACAAAUUAUUCAUAGAUUAAUAAUGAGUCUUUUUUGGUAUAAUAAGACAAUAUUUUCCAUGUCUUGAUGAGAAAUUUCAAACAAAUCCCUUUCACUUCCAAAUAAACAAAAAGAUAUAGUUCAUUACCAAUAUAGUGUUGCCACUUUAACAUUAUCACAAAAUAAAGCUCACUGAUAUUAAAUUUAAUAGCAAAAUGAAAAAAAGGCAAGGAAUAAUUCAAUUUAAUUCAGACAAAAAUCAUAUGGUAUAUAUGUGAUGCAGAUAUGUUUGGUUAUAAUUUCUCAUCUUUAAACUAGUGGAGCAUCUAUAGAAAUUUCCAAGAAAGUUGCAUCACAAAAAAUCAUUCAAUUUGAUGUAAAAUCCCAAAGCUUGCAAAAUGAAAAAAAAAGGAAAAAAAAACUAAUGGUAAAUCCUUAUACUUGAUUAGACAUUAAUUUAUUUAUGUGGACCGAUUUUAUUAAAAAGAGAAUACUUUAUUGUGAUCUAAUCAAGCAUAUUUAAGUAGCUGAAAGAGUAGGAAAAUGUCAUUCUCAAACAUUAGAUACGACUAAGUCACAUAAUAAAGUGUUUUUUGGUAUAAUAAGACGAUAUUGAGGGACCUGAUAUUUAUGAUGAGACGUGGUCUUUUCGUAUUCCUUUUUUAUUUCUCAUUCGAUAUUCAUUAUGGUCUCGAUUAAUUUGAAUUUGCACCAUGUAGGCCUAUUAACGGAGGAAGCACCAAGUUUUUUUACGCGGAGUGUCCCUCCAAAUAUCUUUUAUCUUGCAACUAAAAGUAUAAAUGCAGUUCUUUGAAUUUUCAAGUAACUUAGUAAUUUAUGCACGGUUGCAAGAUUUGAUAAGACAGCAACAGCCUUGUCGAUGGCUGGUUCAAGGUCAGACAUUUCCUCGGAUCAAGUAGCUUUAUGUUGUUUGAUUCACACCAAUUUGCUUAAGUGUAGGUCUAAGACUGUUUCAUCGUGACGAAUCAGUCGUGCAUACAGGAAGCAGUGUUUGUCACGACCCAAGCUGAGGCCCUAGUCACGACGGGCCUAAGAGACCCCUUCUAUCCUAGCCCACUAGUGAUAUUGUCCAGCUUGUUCAUUGUUUAUCACGACCGGAGCCGAGGCCCUAGUCACAACGGGCCUGAGAGACCCUUUAUAUCCUAGCCCACUAGUGAUAUUGCCCAGCUUUUUCAUUGUUUGUCACAACCCGAACCGAGGCCCUAGUCACGACAAGCCUGAGAGACCCUUUAUAUCCUAGCCCACUAGUGAUAUUGUCCGCUCUAGGUCUAGACCCUCAUGGCUAUAAAACACGUCUCUAGGGAGUAAGGCUUGCUUACUUAUAUACCCAUCAUCCCUCCUGUGUUUUGCCGAUGUGGGACUCUUUAUCCUAAGUUGGGGUGUUACAUUGUUCUCCUUUAAUUUUUUAAAAGCUCUUGGUUUGACUUCAAUCUUGGGGCAAUCCGCAAUAUUUGCAAAGCUGUCUACAUAAGGUGCUCUGCAUACUUAUGCUGCUAUGAUUUUCUUUUUGAUAGAACAGAAUUACCUUCUUUGAUUCUGUUUAAGUGAGUAAAAAAAGAAAAAGGUCAAUCCAGUACACUAAAGCUACCGCUAUGCGCGGUGUCCGAGGAACGGCCCCACCACAAGGAUGUAUCGUACGCAGUCUUACCUUGCAUUUCUACCAAAGGCUAUUUCCAAGGCUUGAACCCGUGACCUCUGGUCACAUGGCAGCAACUUUACCAGUUACUUCAAGUGAGUAUUGGUCUAAAUAUCUUGUUUUCAUUCGUAAAGUCAUUAAUAUCUUCCUCCGUAGAUUCAACUCUUCUCAAUGCUCUUUCCAAUACUAAAAGUCAUUGGAAGAGUCCCUAAGAGACUGUUGUGGUGCAUAUCUAGAACACUGCAGAAUUGCUCCCUUCAAGUUAGUUUCUUGCCAAAUCUAGCAUUACCAGAGAUGCCAAAUUGCAAAUUGAUGACAGAAUUUCUUAAUUGAGAUUAUUUUGGUUGCGGGAAUUAAGGAAAUGCCUCCGCAAAUUCGUUAUAUUUUCCCAUGGAAAUGUAAAAUGAAAGGGAAAAAUGUUUUCUUCAAAUGUUGCAAAUUCGGCUGCCAUCUCUAAUUCACACUUUGUCUCUGUUCAUAUCUCGUCACAGAAAUUGUUAUCAUUAUCAAGUCAAAUUUGGAUAGUUCUGUUUAUUUUUUUUAAAAGAAUGUGUUGCAUAUCUACAUUUUUUCCCAAGUUAACAAAACUAUCAUACACAAAAUAAUUACUUUUCUCAAAAAUGAAAAAGUAGAGAAUCAUAUGUUGUGCUACUAUUAUAUUUUCUAUGACAGACGUCCUUUAAUUUUGAACUGUCAGUUCAAGUGAAAGUAUUUUUCACUCUAAUAGCUAAAGAUCAUUCAACUUCUAAUCUCUUCACUUUAAUUUUGAUUUUUCAUUCUGACUUGACAACUUAAAUGUACUUGAGACUUAGUUUACAUUUAAGUCUUCCUCUAUCUCUUUUAACUUUUUAGAAAAAAUUUGGUGUUGCUCCCCAAAGUAAAAAAGGAAAAUAAUAAUUCAAGUUUUAGUAGUGCUACAGUAUCAAUGAAUGAGGGAUUUUUCCAAGUUACAUCUAUUUGUUGUUUUGCUGAUACGAUUUCUUUUGUCGAAACCAUUUUCUUUCCCUUUGUAAGGGACUCCCAGAGAAGACAAGUUUUGAUUCAUAAUAUUUUCUUGUUGUAAUUCGUAACGGAUCAGUUACUUAGUGAGGUAUAAGCUUAUUUCUGUUUGUGAAACAAAUAUGGUUUGAAAUUAUGAAUUAAAUAGCUUGAGCUAUUGUCUUCCUUUUGGUAUUAUGUCACAAGACAUUCAAAGUUGAGCAUAUAAACUUGAAAAAUAUAUUAAGUUAAUAAACCUUAAGCUGAUUAAUACAAACUAAAGAAGAACAAAUGUAGAUGCAUACAUCUCUCAAAAUAAAGCUUAUUAGUGAACAUAACAGUAACCAACUCCACUGUGCCAACGUCUUCGUAUCUUUGACAUCUGAAAAUUGAAAAAUAAGAUAGUGAGUGUCAAACACUUAACAAUAAGAAAUACUAAUAUAUCAGCGUAGAACUUAGCUUGAAUACCUGUAAGUUCCCGAACUUAAAUCUUGCUCCAAUGACAAAUGUUCUAGAAGCGAUUAUUGCUUCUUCUGUAAUUCCUUUGCCUUCUCUGCUUCUUUCUCCUCGCCAUCAUAAUUUUGUGUCCCAGAUCUUCAACGAUUCUUACGGUAACCAUGCAAGAACUAAAACAAAUGCUCCCACACACAAGCACAUGAGUUACGCUUAUUCCACUAACUUCUGGGAUUAUUUGCAUCACAUAGUCAUGCACACUUUUCAUCCGAAUGCCAAUUACAGAAUCACCAAAGGUUGUUCAACAUAUGCUAAACGACAAGAGAAAAUAGUUAUACAAAAAUGCUCAUAGCCUUAUCCCAAAGUCAUUCGUCAUCUACAUAUACAACAAGAUGCUAAAAAAAAAAAAAAGACACUUCAUAAAUAAACAUUAAUAAAUGGAUAUUUACAUCACAACCUAAGAAAAGAAAAUGCAAUACUAGACAUGCCGGUUCUACUAGAUAGCACACAGGAGGAAAAGAACACAGGUAGCAAAAAACCCCAUGGUACAAGUACACCCAUCCACACAUAAAAUAAAUGUGCUGUCCUUAAUGCAUAUAAAGAUAGUACAGAGGAGGAGAGUACUUGGAAAAGUACCGGAAAGAUUGUUGUGGUGCAUAUCAAGAACCUCAAGAUGACCACUCAUGUUGCCAAAACAUUGCGGAAUUGCUCCAAUUAGAUUGUUUCUACCCAAAUCUAGAACUUGUAGUGAUGUUAAAUUGCAAAUAGAUGAUGGGAGCUCUCCAUUGAGAUUAUUAUGUGACAUCAUCACAUACUGGAGGCCACUGAUAUUACCCAAGCAUUGCAGAAUUUUUCCCUUCAAGUUGUUUCUAGACAAAUACAGGACUGUCAGUGAAGUCAAAUUACAAAUAGAUGAAGGAAUUUCCUCAAUCAAAUUGUUGUUGCCGAGAAAUAGAGUUUGCAAGUUUCUAAAAUUUCCAAAGGAAGACGGAAUUGAACCAGUAAGUAGAUUAUUGGAUAAUGUCAGAUUAUUUAGGUUUUUCAGAUUCCCUAACACACUAGGAAUUUGGCCAGAGAGUUGAUUAUCGGAUAAUUCCAGAUUAUUGAAUUUUUUCAGAUUCCCCAACUCAUUAGGAAUUGGGCCAAAGAGGUUUUUAUUAUUGGAUAAUACCAGAUGAUUGAGGUUUAUCAGAUUCCGCAACUCACUAGGAAUUGGGCCAGAGAGUUGAUUAUUGUAUAAUGCUAGAGUAUUGAGAUUUUUCAGAUUCCCCAACUCACUAGGAAUUGGGCCAGAGAGAGUUGCUUAUUGGGUAAUCCCAGAAAAAUGAGGUUUUUCAGAUUCCCUAACACAUUGAGAAUUAGGCCAGAGAGAUUAUUAUUGUAUAAUUCCAGCUCAAUGCGGUUUUUUAGAUUCCCCAACUCACUAGUAAUUGGGCCAAAGAGCUGAUUAUCAUAAAGAUACAGAUAGGACAAGUUGUUCAAAUUCCCCAAUGAAGCAGGAAUAAAGCCAAUAAGGAAGUUCCCGCCCAAAGAUAGCUUAGUAAGAGACCUUAGGUAACCUACUUCUCCUGGAACGGGACCAUUUAAAUGGUUGUCAAAACUGAGGAGGAUCUGAAGCUUGACUAGUGAGCCGAUUUGUGAUGGGAUUGUGUAUGAAAUUUGAUUGCUAUUCAAGUCAAGAUAGACAAGAUUAGUGAGACUACCAAUCUCAGGUGGGAUGGUGCCAGAAAAAUUGUUCAUGGUAUGAUCAAGAUACUCAAGAAAAGGGAGAGAUGAAAACGGGAAAUCAUAGAGUGUAGCAAAGACACUAGCAUUUGUGAUAUUCAACGUGUUUACCCUACCAUUAAUGCAUGAAACUCCGUACCAUUCGUUGCAUGCAUCAGAACCUGGUUGCCAUGAAGCCACUAAGGAAUUAUUCAGGUUCUUGAAAGUUGCUUUCCAUUUAAGGAGGGCAGUUGUUUCAUCACAGAAGCAAAAGUAACUCUAAAAGGAUAUAAAAGAGUUAAAAGACCAAGUAAUAAAGAGAAUAUUUUGUUGGGAACCAUCAUCAUAUUUUGAGUUUAUUAUUUUAGUAUUGAAUGUCUUCAUCAGAGGUAGGGGUAUGAACUGCGUACAUCUUACCCCCCAGACCCCACUAGGUGGGAAUACACUGGAUUUAUUGUUGUUGUAUUUUAGUAUUGAAUGAAGUAAUUGUGGAGGGUUCACAGGGUUUUAUAUUGUACCUAACUUAUCAUUAAAUACCAAAAGGGAAACGUGUUUUCAUCAAAUGUUGCAAAUUCGACUAUUCCCUCUCAUUCCCACUUUGUCUCUUCAUAUUAUAUCAGAGAACAUGUUCCAUUCUCAAGUCAAAUUUGCGUUGUUAUGUUUUUGUCUUUUUUAUAAACAAAAUUAUCCACAUAUUACGGAAAAAAAAAUGGCAGCCCGGUGCACUAAAGGUACCGCUAUGCACGGUGUUCGGGGAAGAGCCUCACCACAAGGGUAUAUUGUACUCAGUCUUACCUUGUAUUUCUGUCAGAUAGUGUUUCCAAGGCUUGAACCUGUGACCUCCUGGUCACAUGUAUACUUGUAUUUUGUGUUACCUCCUUAUUUAUUGUCAUCACAAAAUGUCUUAAUUAUUCUCUCUCUCUUAUACAUUCACACUUGGUAGAUAAAAUUGUCUUUUAUUAACUUGUAUGAUUCUCAAGUCAAAUUGUGUAACACAUCUACAUUUUUUUCAAGUAAACAAAACUAUCAUACAGAAAAUAAAUUUCGUCAAAAGAAUAUCUGGCAUCAGAAUGGAGUCGAAGAAAAUCAUCCAUUGAAGGUUCAUAUUUGAGUAUCGGAUUGGUGACUGUCCUGUUAGGUUGAUCCAUCUCAUUAUCGGGUCAACCGGAUGGUCAUUAUUGGGAAUUAAGGUGGGAACUCGCGGCCUCAUGUGACGAAAGAAGAAUAACAAUGACUCGUGUCCCGAAGAAAAAAUAAAAGGACAAAAGGGCAGAUACGAUAGAUGUACGCCUACGAGAUCAACCAAAUUGUUGGGUUCAAUAUAUAUGAAAAACGUGAAUGGAAAAUGGAGGGACACAAGCUUUGGGAAAAGACAUAUUGUUUUGAAAAAGGAGUGACUUUUCAGAUAGUUUUGUCUGUUCAGAAAAAGACACAAUGUUUCGAAUGAACAGACAUGACUCUUCCAAAGGAUACACCUUCUCGGAUGAACCAUUGCCAACUUUCGGAAGGGGCGCUUGAUGGCUAUAUAAACUAGCAUUUAUCCACAGGUUUAUGCAUGAAAAUUUUUUCUGAACAUAAAAACUCUUCUUGUCUUCAAAACAUUCCUUGUGAUCAAUCAAAUCGUUGAGUGAGUUCGACGAAUCCAAUUAUUUAAGGUAUGAUACAAAACAGCCCAAGAACACAAGAAAACAAACACCAAAACAGUCCACUAGUUCAAGGAACUAUGGACCUCUUUUGGUGACCUCUCUCGGAUUCAAGAACACAAUAAGAAGACCAUGUAAUGAGGUGUUUAACAACUAUUUUCCAGCAGCAAACCAAACUAUAUUAUGAUAAUAAAAAUGAAGAACAACAAUGUUACAACAACAAUAACCUAACGGCUUGAACAAGAACAACACAAACUACAAGAUUAGGACAAGAAAUAAAGAUAGAUAGUUAGACAAGUCUUGAUGUAGUCUUAACAACCCAAGAGCAUAUUCCACUCUUAGACCUUUAACACUUCAUACAACAAACACCUAACGCUUACAAUGACACAAGAGGGGCAUCCACCUCUUAAAGCACCAAAGUCUCAAGCUUUGUAAUACACAAGAGAAUCCACCAUUAUGCUAUGACCUAAUUUCAAUUUUGAGAACUCUCUCUCACAAGAGUAGUGUCUUCAAUAUCAAGAAUAAACUAAGAAAAUAAACCCUACAAGGUUCUAUUUAUACAACAUUAUAAAUAAUAGAGAAAUGACAAAAGACCCUUUGUUGACCUCUCUCGGAUUCGCAAGAAGAACAAGAAAGGAAGUGAUAUCAAGAGUAAAACACACUAAAACAGCAACAACACUUGAUGAACAAGAUGCAAUAACAACAACACACGGUUACAAGACAAGAACACAAACGGAUUACAACUUUAUGUUUAAUUCGCUUAUAUUGUAGCUCAAUUCGCUUAUAUUGUAGGAGCCGUAGAAUUGGUUGGGGCCGUACAAAUUUACAUACGCUCUUAAGCUGCUCGACCUGUUGGGAACAUAUAUUGUUAUUUUUCAGGGACUACCCUUGUGUUGCAUAUACCUUGUUUACUUCAGUAAAAACAAAAAGUGAUUGUAUGAACUAUCUACCUAGUUGAAUUAUGCACUUUGUAUCAAAAAAAUAUUUUCAUCAGUGUCAUCUUCAAGUAUGGAACUUUGAAGUUCUCUCAUUCUGACAAAAAUCCAUAUUUGUUUUGUCUCAUCUGUUUCUGCUACCGUUGUGCCUGAAAAUAUUUUGUAUUUUCGCCAAGCACAGAAAUCUGACAAGUCUUGAAAGACUGAACUCGCGUAUUAGGCAAAAUACAAGAUUUUCUCGUGUGGCUAGGGGUGACAAUUCAACCAGAUGAGAUGUGGUUUGUUUUGUUAAAAUCUUUUCAGCAGAGUGUAUCUUGUUGAUAGCUCAUGUUUGAGCUCUCAGUAGGCUAGGGUGAUUUCAUUUCACCUUACUAAUCCCGGAGAAGCUUCAAAUACAUGUCUAGAUUGUAUAAACAUACUUCUUAGGUGCUUAGCUACUCUUGCAUUUUGUUUUUUCAAAAUUGUUCUAAAAAUGAUUUUUCUUGUCCAUGAUUAUCUCUGGAUAUUCUAUUUCCUUCGUUUGGGCAGAUUUAUUUCUCCCUCUUUGCACUUUUGUAGCUUUGGUGUUCUGUCUUGUCAUUCCGCCACUUUCUUUGAUUUUCUUAAAGUGGUUCACAAUUGAAGUAUUGGGAUUCUUUCGACUAUCUUGUUGACAUUGUUUUGUUGCAUCCAUCGCCUCCAUGUUGGCAUUUGUCUUGUGGAGUAAGGGCAUUUUCUUGAACUUUCCUCGUGUUGCCUAUGUUCGCUAAUCUAUUUUCUGAUGUUGUUGCUGUUUCCUGUUUUAUCCUUCCUGAAAUAUCCUGGUUUCCUUCAUUUUCUGUUUCCAUAGCAUUCUUAUCUUUUCCCGUAGUCAUGGCCAUCAGGAUGGUGGCGCUAUGUUCAGGAUUGCUACAUGCAUUAACGACCUCUUUGUGAACUUGACCUUGAGUUCUCCUUCUGCAUUAUCUCUAGAGAGUCCACCCUUAUUGUUUUCCUGUAUUUCCCUAUCAAAUUUCAGUUCAGGGUGUAACUCUCUACAUUUCUCAUCACCAUAGUUUCAUAUUCCACGACUUGGGCAAUCACUGUCAUGUGGUCUUCUUUGUUUCUGAUUUCUAGUAAGAUUCACUUAGGGGUUUGGUUAAGUCUAUCUCUACCUUGAUUUUUCACGGCGUAGGUCUAAUUUUUGUGCUAGUGGGGUACCAGUUGGCUCCACAAUGCAACAUAGAGCAUCCCAAACGUAGUGAUCCUAAAUUGAGCCUCUAUUUUCAUUGUGUCACACCUUUUUUUUUUCUAACUCCAAAAAGAUUCAUGAUUUUAAUUGUUUUUAAAGGAUUUUUAUUAUUAAGUGACAAAAGAUAAAAAUUUGUUUCGAAAAGGAUUCAUUUUAUUCUAAACUCAAAGUCGCCAAUUGGCAUAAAUCGGGUGUGUCAAGUCACCCGUGGAUAUCCUUUUUCAAAACGGUUUUGACUCUGUAAAAUUGAUCUGAGAAUAGACAUUCCGGCUAAGGAAUUCUGUUGACCGAAGGGAAGGUGUUAGGCACCCCUCGAUCCAGUGGUUCGACCACGAUCGCUUGGUGGAGUAUAUCGGCUAAUUUUGACACUACUAAUGUACAAACCACAAAGACACAUGUAAAGCAAUCAAACAAACAAACCAAACCAAACGUAUAAAAGUAUAGCGUUCAGUCCAAUUAUACAGUCCCAAAAAUAAAAAAAAAUGCUAAAAUAAAUCCUAUCUAACCUAUACUAAUCCUAACUAUGCUCCCUUGCUUUACUCGAUGCCUCGGGCCUUCCUCACGAACAUCUUUCCGCCAACAUAGUACGUCGGGGCAUUCCCCGGUGAAGAAACACAAAUAUCUCGGGGCAUUCCCNNNNNNNNNNNNNNNNNNNNNNNNNNNNNNNNNNNNNNNNACUCAACACAAAUAUUUACACAUUCGAUGAUUAAAAUCCUACGAGUUGCCUACCCCCAAAACCUAGAACAAACCUAGAACUUACCUAUCAGUGCCCGACCUAAGACAUGAUACUAUUACACUUAACAUCAAUAUUUAUUUCAAAAUAAACCGACAACAAUAAAUCAAGCUAAUCCUUCUUCAUUUUAUCAAUUUUUCGAUCCCGACCCCAAACAACAACUUAAAUUCUCAAUCAACGAUUAACUAAUCUUUAGGCUAUCAAUUUAAUCUUCAUAAUUCGAAUUCAACAUCAACCAACAUUUAUGAUUCAAACAUCACAAAAUCAAACAAAGAAAACAAGAUCCACACAUUGUCAAUUCGCCACACAAAAUAUCAAAAUUUAAAAUUAUUCGAGAAAAGGGAUGAGAAAUGGACCUCAAUCGAAGCUUUUAUUAUGCCAAAUAAUGCGAUUAGAAAAUAGAAUCGGGUCCGAAAGCCUCAAGUUGAACCUCAAUCGCGAACUAACCAACUCCAAAACUUGGUAUCACCAAAAUCGAAACCCGGAACUGACCACAAUGACCCAAUCGAGACAAAUCGAACCUUUGAGGCGUGUCUUUCAAUUUUAAAAAUUCUUCAAAAUAGAGUAGCCCUUAAACCUUGAACAAAAUUCACACUCAUUAAAGAAUCGAUCAUGACUUCUAUUUUCGCCUUAACCGAUGGUGCAGAAAACACCAAAAUUCGACCCACGAACCUAGAUUUUUACCCGAAAUCUCGAAAUCGAAGCAAUGAGGGAGAAAGAAAGUAAAUUUGACAGCUCCCCAAGGAAUUCUGUGACUUUUAUGGUUUAUCCUAUGAAGAUCAAUGAGAAGGGAGUCAUCUAGUCAGUAAUGAAAUGGAAUUUUGGAGAUGGAGAUGUGGGUGACGUAUGACCCAAAAUGAAAGGGGGUCUGUGUUGUUAUUCUAGGAAGAAAAGAGAAGGGGGUGUGUGAAUGUCGAUGGUUGUGUGUGUAUGGUGUGUACAGAAAGAGUGACGAUGGAAGGAGUAGUGUUGGUGUUUGUCUAUGGUGAGAGAAUUAUAAGGGGUGAGUGUGAGAGUGUGUGUUCCUUUUUAAGGGAAAGAAAAAUGGAAGAUGAUCAUCCCCUCCCUGUGGGCCCCUCGCCUUAUUCUCCUUUUCUAGAAAACCAAAUUGGAUUCCCUUUUUUUUUUUUUUUUUUUUUUUUUUUCUGAAUGGGAAAGACCAAGCAAUAUUUCAAGUGGUCCUCUUUUUUCUUCCCUUUUUAUCAUGUAAAUGUGAGUAUAUGUAUUGAGAAAAAUGGAAUAAUUCGUGGCCCCACUCUUUUUGGAAUGUAGUCUAAUUGUGGAAGAAAGAAAUGGGAAAUCACGUGAAAGGGGAGUAGGUGGGUUUAGGGGUGAGGUAAGGUAGGGUGUAGGGUGAGGUAGUUUGUUAGGAUGAGGUGUAAAAAGGAUUAGGGUGGGAUAAAAUUUGUUAAGGUGUUUGUUAUUUUUGGUUCUUUUACGAGGAAUAAUUACAUGGUUGAGGGUGUACGGUAAGGUGAGCUGAAAAUGAAUAAAAUUGAACUUGAGAGGAACAAAAUUAGGUGUCUACACAUUGGUUUCAGGUUUGAAAGAGGAGGUCCAUUUGAUGAUUUUCAUAUUUUU